GGAGGGUGCAAGCGUUAUUCGGAUUUACUGGGCGUAAAGCGCGCGUAGGCGGUCUAUUAAGUCUGGUGUGAAAGCCCGGGGCUCAACCCCGGAAGUGCACUGGAUACUGUUAGACUGGAGUACUGGAGAGGAGAGCGGAAUUCCUGGUGUAGAGGUGAAAUUCGUAGAUAUCAGGAGGAACAUCGGUGGCGAAGGCGGCUCUCUGGACAGUGACUGACGCUGAGGCGCGAAAGCGUGGGGUAGCAAACAGGAUUAGAUACCCUGGUAGUCCACGCCGUAAACGAUGAACACUAGGUGUCGGGGGGAUCUUACCCCUUCGGUGCCGCGGCUAACGCAUUAAGUGUUCCGCCUGGGGAUUACGGCCGCAAGGUUA
rnacentral:rRNA from 1 species